UUCCAGCAAUGGACCUGCACACAGGUGCUGCAUGGCUGUCGUCAGCUCGUGUCGUGAGAUGUUGGGUUAAGUCCCGCAACGAGCGCAACCCUCGCCUCUAGUUGCCAGCAUUCAGUUGGGCACUCUAGAGGGACUGCCGGUGAUAAGCCGCGAGGAAGGUGGGGAUGACGUCAAGUCCUCAUGGCCCUUACGGGCUGGGCUACACACGUGCUACAAUGGUGGUGACAGUGGGAUGCAAAAGGGCGACCUCUAGCAAAUCUCCAAAAGCCAUCUCAGUUCGGAUUGCACUCUGCAACUCGAGUGCAUGAAGUUGGAAUCGCUAGUAAUCGUGGAUCAGCAUGCCACGGUGAAUACGUUCCCGGGCCUU
rnacentral:rRNA from 1 species